GCGACAUUUUCGCACAGUGCACCUAAGGUGACAACUAAACGGCUAUGAAAUUGUAUUUGUUUUUUUACAUUUACUUGGCGCCGGAAAGGAAAAUGUGUCACCUCAACUUGAACAGGCCAUCAAAAACAGCGGCAACAUUUUCAGCAAGAAAGCGAGAAAAUAAACCAAACCGGGGCAGAACUUUUUUGUUUUGCCGCAAAACUUUUCAAUGGUUUUCUCAAUGGAAAAGCGAUUGAGUACAUGGAAAAGAUAAAUGCCGGAAAGGUGUAAACUUUGCCCACGAAAUGAAUCGCGGUGUGGAAAGUUAUGAAGUGGCGAUCGCCAGCACACUUCAUCGAAAAGCAAUUCGAGUUGACAAUGGGAAUGAUGGCGGUCAAGUGGCGGCGCAAAAUCGUGAAAAUUCCCACGGACCACGCCCACAAAAGUAGAUGACAGUAGACGGUGGCAGUGACAGUGAAAAUGAAUAUGAAUAUGAGAAUGAAAAUGAAAUUGAAAAUGAAAAUUCGCCACCCACACACUUGCUAAUUUGGCUUUAAUUUGCAUUUUAAUACACAAUAUUCAUAAUGGGUGCAAGUCAAACAACGAGGCGCAUGCGUGAUAUGCGAGAAAACAGGAAAAAGUAAAAGGGGGACGCACUCGUCGUAUCAUCAGCAUUAAUAUGCAAAUCAAAAAAUGGGCCCAGCAACGCACUGCAUACGUAAUUAUGCAACCGGAACGCGGAAAAACGGAAACAAGGACUCAGAUUCAGAUACAGAUUCACAGAUUCACAGAUUCACAGAUUCACAUUCACACACAGAUUCACAUUCGCAUUUGGAUUUGGACUCCGGCGAGGAUUCAGGCAACUUAACCAGACGCAGUCAACGGAUCUCACAAGCGCACAGUGGGCCAUAAAAUGGUUUACUUUUAACUAUGUAUAUUACAAUUAAACCACUAACAAGUAUUAUAAAUCUUAAAAAUAAAAAUCUUUUAAAUUAUGUAUAUAAUAAACGGUGGAAAUGCUCUUUAAGGUUAACUUUUUAAUGUAUAUUUACUUUGGUUUUAAGAAGAUUAACAAAAAGUGUCAUUUAUUUAAUGUCUAAAAUCUUUUGUGAUCAGAAUUGUUGAUUUUAUUCAAAAGCGCAACAAAAGCACGCGUUUCACUGCCACGCCCAUUGCUGCAGCCUCUGCCACGCCCCCUUUACCGGGCUAGCCCUCUGGCCCAGGUCGUCGUGCAUUCCAAGCUCUUUUCCACGGGACAGCCAACAGGGUAGCAGUGAAUGGGCGGGGAUGCGCGGCUAAUUGAAUCAGCACAGGUGUUUCUCCACUUAUGCCGCUUCUUAUUUGAUUUCCCUUCGAAUUACCUUGCAGGAUAUUAGGAUACUAUAUUAACUUAAGGUAGUAAUCCCGCCGUGAAACCUCCAGUUCACCCCUUGAAAACGCUCAGCCAGAUGAGGAGGAUUGCGGUGCCGGCGGCAACCAAAUGGUUUUGGCCAGUCCAAGGGAAAGUGGAGUGGUAAAUUAUGCAUGAGCGCCUCAGUGCUCCGCAAGUGCAAAAAUGCAAAAGCGAACCCCUCUAAACGCCGGCCAUGUGCAAUUGAGAGAACGCUUUCAACUGUCAAGUUUCCCAUGGCAAAAUGCAAAUAAUUGACAGGGACUCUCGGCAGUAGCCAAGCCCCAAGCCCGAAAAACCCAAACCCCAAACCUCAAAAUCCAAACCCAAAACCCCAAACACCAUAGUCCAAAUCCAAGAUGCAAAAUCCGGCAGCCGGAUGCGGAUACGGAUUCGAAUUCAGAUUCGCAUUUGGUGGCUUUCUUGUGUAUAUUUACUUAUUUUCUUGCCUCGUUCAAGCGCCAUUAGCAGUGGCGACCAGCUCCUGGCCACUUCUUAAUUUGGCUAUAUUUUUUUUUCUUGCCCUACGGCUUUGUCUCCCUUGAAAUAAAAAUAAAAAUAAAAUAAAAUGAAAGAAAAUAAAGAAAUGGCCGCAACAUAAUUUCCGCUUUGCCUGCUUUGACCAACUUA